rnacentral:rRNA from 1 species
UACGGAGGGUGCAAGCGUUAUCCGGAUUCACUGGGUUUAAAGGGUGCGUAGGUGGCCAACUAAGUCAGACGUGAAAUCCCCAGGCUCAACUUGGGAACUGCGUCUGAUACUGGAUGGCUUGAAUCCGGGAGAGGGAUGCAGAAUUCCAGGUGUAGCGGUGAAAUGCGUAGAUAUCUGGAGGAAUACCGGUGGCGAAGGCGGCAUCCUGGACCGGGAUUGACACUGAGGAGCGAAAGCUAGGGGAGCAAACGGG